CACAGGGGACACGUGUCACCCGUCUAGAGGCUCUAUUCCUUAUUUUCCGGCCAAAACCAGGAUUCAUUGAUUCCCUGUGGUGAACGCAAACGCAUGAUCCAUUUACAACAUUUCGGGUCAAAAUUUGUUUCCAUAUAUAAGCAUAUAACCCGACGCAUAUCAUCAGUUCCCUCACUUUUUCUUUCACAGUUAGGGUUUCAUAAAUUUCUCUCUCACGCUAGGGUUUCUCAAGAAAAUCCUAGGUAAAUGAGAAUGAAGAUCAAAUCAAUGAAUAAUGGAAACAAAGAUUGACAGUUAAAGAAUGAUAAAAUCAGUAUGUUUAAUCAAAAGUACUGAUGAUCUAACCUUGAUUCGGAGUGUUGAUAUGAAGAUUUAUUUAGAUUCAUGUUGUGUUGAAAAAUAAAUGAGUUGUAUCAUAAUCUCAGUUGUCUUCUCUCUGUCGCUGGUUUCAAGGUAUCAAUUAUGAUUAGUUCUUGCUGAUAUGUACACCCGCUCGCUGCCUCUGUUCUAUCUUCGGUCGUCCAUCACAACAAUGUCGUACCCAAUUCCAAAAGCUAUGUUAAUCAAGAUUUGAGGUAACAAAUCAAUCUUUUUUAUUGGGCUAUUAGAAGUUAAUCGCACUCUGGGGAAUGUAAUUAUGAAUUUAGGGGUGAAAGAACCUUAUAAUGCAAUUUAGGGUAAACUAGCUUGGUAAUUUAUUUAAUGAUUUUAAAUAUUUGAUUUUGAUCUAGGGUAAACUAGCUUGGUAAUUUAUUUAAUGAUUUUAAGCACUUGAUUUUGAUCUAGGGUAAACUUGAUCAAAGUUGUUUCUUCCACCAUUUGUGCUUUUUCGAUUAGAUUUGUUACAGUCUUAUAUGAAAACUAUAAACGAAACUUCGAUUCUUUGUUUUUUAGGAAAUUAUAUAAACAAAAUGAUGUGGGUACUCAAAUAUUCAAUAAAAUCCAAAUUUUGAUGUUUAAGAUUUGAUUUCUUUUCAGAAUAAAUUUUGUUAAAUUAGUUGAAUAAACAUAGGAGUUAUUGCUUCUUUUUUCUAUCUAAUCUCAAGUUUAUGGGUUGCUACUGUAUGGCAGUUCGCCUUUUUAGGUAUAGGUUGCUCAUCGCUAUACGUUAGCAGUAGUUUACAACUUUCAUUAUUUGUUUCGUGAAGUUAGCUUUGAUUUUUCAAGACAAAGAAGAAGAAUGGACAUGAUGCUGAAAUAAAAAUGUUGGAAUUAAAAGUUUGAUAUGAUUAAUUGAUAACUAUGAUUAGUUUUUGCACCACGACCAUACAUAACUUUGCAAAAUGAUGAAUUUAAGUGACCACAAGUUCUCUCUCGCUACCAGGAGUAAGAAGGUAAUAUUUAUGCUUAAUCUUUUUAUCAGCAGUGAUUAAAGGUGUGUAUGUGGAGGAGAAUCACAUUACUGAUCAAGUUAUCAGAGAAAAUCUCAAGUUGCCAAGCGGAGCCUAGUUUUAGGUGUUUUUGAGCUGAGCCUGAAAGUGGCAUAGCGGUUUCGAAUUUUUGAUUAUAUUUUCCAAGUAAAUACAUAUAAUUUUAUAUAUUUGUAUAUAUUGAUCUGUUAGUGGUUUGCUAAUAAAAUUUACACAAGGUUACCAUGAUUUAUAUACUUUUCACAACCACAUAAAUAGUAAAACUAGAUACCAAGCAAGAAAAAGUAUACAUUUUUCACAGAACCACAAAUAACAUGAGUUCCAGCUUUUAAAUCAUUUAUUUUAAGACUAUUGAGGUGGGUAUUUUAGACAUUUAACUACCUGUUAAGCUUUGUAGGUAGACGUAGGUACAAGCACCAAUGAUACCAUCAUUGAUUUGGCUGGUGGUCUAUCUUGAUAAAACAAGAUAAUUGCCCUACACAGUCCCAAGGCAAAAAAAUUCCAAGCAUGCCUUGAUGGAGUAUGUUUAAAUGUUAAUUUUAACCUAAAAGUUCACAUUUUCUUUCAGUUAAUAUAUUAAAUUUAAAUCUACGUUUGUUGCCUGAUCUUUGGGUAAUGCAAGGACUUGCCAAAUCAAUAGCCUGGGAUGGAGAAGGGGCAAUAUGUCUUGUAGAGGUGUGCGUAACUAGAUCAUAAUAUGUAUCACGGAUGCUCAAAAGAAGUGUAUUCUUUAUUGUCUCAUUAUGGAAACCAAGGCGGUUAAAGCUACUGAUCAAGAAAAUUGGGUUGAAGGGAGCAGGAUUAUUUCUGAGAUAAAGGUAUGGACCUGGGAUUGGACCUGGGCUAUUGUGUUCAAGAUGUCGAAGGAAAUGACUCUGGCAUGGCCCAAUACUUCUCUCGUCUCAUUAAAGGGUUCAUAAUGCUAGGCGUAUGCUUCCAAUGGAUUUACCAAAGGCAGCUUUCAGCAUGCUAAAUAGGUGUACAAGGGGACCACUAUUGGCAUAGUGUCAUAGUUACCAGAUUGGCGAUAACUAUUAGGGCCGGUCGAGGGUAAGUGAAAACAAGUAGCCGCUUGCGCCCACUGUGAAGAAGCAAACGUCCAGAAUGGUCAAGGGGCAGGAAAUCUUACUGAAGGAGCUCUCAAUUUGAUUAGGGUUUCAUUGAGGCAUAUUCUAAGUAUGAAUGAUCAUUUUUUUUUAUAAUAAAGAUUCAAGUUUUGAAAUUUUAUGAUCGUAAAGAUUCAAGCUUUGAAUUUUUUAUUUCAUUAAUGUCCUGCAGUUUUUGUAUCUAAGUAUCAGGUUCGUUUUCCACAUUGCCCAACAACUUAUAUCUCAUAUGGACUAUGUUUCUCGGUAUUUUAUAUUCCUCCACCACCUAUUCAUGAGCUAUAAUACAUGACCACAGCCUCCUCAAGCUGGUAGUAUAAACUCGGCUCCACCAGUGGCUAGCAUAAAUAGCCACUUCUACAAUACAAAACAACCAGUUAUACACGAAACACAUUUAAUAUUGGAAUUCCCGGAGGCUAUAGACCCUUCAAGAACUGGAACAUUGUCUCGGGUCAACCAGCCAAACGGAUGAACACUUUUGACUUCAACAUUAAAAUGGGAGAUGGAAUUUAAGGCAUACCAUGAGUGCAUGCCUGCAUAAGGUUUUUUUAUCGGUUAUCAAAUAGAAGACGAUUUUCUCAUGUUUUAGAGAUGACUGGACUGCGAAAGUGACUACAACUAUUGACGGUUGAAAGGAUAAAAUGAUAAUAUGCGUUGUCGGAAAGAAUCGGGAGUAAUUCUGGCGAUGGCAACUGCCGUCGUGCAUGAGCGUUAGAUGAGUACUCAUCGGUCAACCUUAACAAGAGACAACGAAAUUGCACCUUCAUAAACAUAGAUUAAUGUCCUUCGGAGAUAAGGAGUUAUGGAGUUCGUGAUUAGAAUAUAUGAUCAUUAACAUGUUGAAAUUAACACCUGCAACUGUUUGAAUAAUGCUAUAGAGUAAAUUUGAUGUGUAUUCUAUGCAAUAGAUCUGAUUC